rnacentral:lncRNA from 1 species
GCCCAGCCCCGGUCGCUGGCCCGCUCUGCAGGCUGCGAUCGCGGAGACUGGAGGCGGCGGGGGAGAUCCAGGUUGGAGCGCUGGGAGAGGACCCCAGCACCCUAUGGCCUUUGACAGGCAUGAAGAAAAGCCAGACCAAACAGUUCUCAUAAUGCAGCCGGUGGUCACAAAGAACAGCCCAGGGAGACGUCUGUCACUGAAAGAGCGGCCUCUGGAAGAGAACCAAAGAGGAAAAGAGCAAUGGAGGGAAGCCUGAUAAAAUAGUUGAAAUCAUUCAUCAGUGAAACAAAGCUGGCUUCUGAGUCAUGCAGGUGUGUCUAGUAAUUAAUUAAUGAACAAGUACCAACCUUUGGAUGGUGAUAUUAAUUAAAUAUCCAACAUUAAAGUGGCAUUUAAUUGCCCAGAGAUUAAUAAAACAGAUCCUUACUCUAUUAGACUGGGAUCCUUCAGUAAGUAAUAGAAUCUGACCCUGGUUAAGAUCAGCAACAGGGAGUUUAUUGAAAAGUAAC